UCUACGGGGGGCAGCAGUGAGGAAUAUUGGUCAAUGGACGAGAGUCUGAACCAGCCAAGUAGCGUGAAGGAUGACUGCCCUAUGGGUUGUAAACUUCUUUUAUAAAGGAAUAAAACGAGGCACGUGUGCCUUUUUGCAUGUACUUUAUGAAUAAGGAUCGGCUAAGUCAGCUCCAGCAGCCGCGCUAAUACGGAGGAUCCGAGCUUUAAACGGAUUUAAUGGGUUUAAAGGGAGCGUAGAUGGGUUGUUAAGUCAGUUGUGAAAGUUUGCGGCUCAACCGUAAAAUUGCAAUUGAUACUGGCAGUCUUGAGUACAGUUGAGGUAGGCAGAAUUCGUGGUGUAGCGGUGAAAUGCUUAGAUAUCACGAAGAACCCCGAUUGCGAAGGCAGCUUACUAAACUGUGACUGACAUUGAUGCUCGAAAGUGUGGGUAUCAAACAGGAUUAGAUACCCCAGUAGUC
rnacentral:rRNA from 1 species